rnacentral:rRNA from 1 species
CCUACGGGUGGCAGCAGUGAGGAAUAUUGGUCAAUGGACGCGAGUCUGAACCAGCCAAGUAGCGUGAAGGAUGACUGCCCUACGGGUUGUAAACUUCUUUUAUAUGGGAAUAAAAUGUUCCACGUGUGGGAUUUUGUAUGUACCAUAUGAAUAAGGAUCGGCUAACUCCGUGCCAGCAGCAGCGGUAAUACGGAGGAUCCGCGCGUUAUCCGGAUUUAUUGGGUUUAAAGGGAGCGUAGGUGGGUUGUUAAGUCAGUUGUGAAAGUUUGCGGCUCAACCGUAAAAUUGCAGUUGAUACUGGCAGUCUUGAGUACAGUAGAGGUGGGCGGAAUUCGUGGUGUAGCGGUGAAAUGCUUAGAUAUCACGAAGAACUCCGAUUGCGAAGGCAGUUCACUGGACUGCAACUGACACUGAGGCUCGAAAGUGUGGGUAUCAAACAGGAUUAGAUACCCGAGUAGUC